UACGUAGGGGGCAAGCGUUGUCCGGAAUCAUUGGGCGUAAAGAGCGUGUAGGCGGCUCGUUAAGUCCGUUGUGAAAGUCCAGGGCUCAACCCUGGAAUGCCGGUGGAUACUGUCGGGCUCGAAUCCGGAAGAGGUGAGUGGAAUUCCUGGUGUAGCGGUGAAAUGCGCAGAUAUCAGGAGGAACACCAAUGGCGAAGGCAGCUCACUGGGACGGUAUUGACGCUGAGACGCGAAAGCGUGGGGAGCAAACAGG
rnacentral:rRNA from 1 species